rnacentral:rRNA from 1 species
UACGUAGGGUGCAAGCGUUGUCCGGAAUUACUGGGUUUAAAGGGUGCGUAGGCGGUUAAAUAAGUUUUUGGUGAAAUAUUGUAGCUUAACUAUAAUUAUGCCAAAGAUACUGUUAGACUAGAGUGGAAUUGAGGUACUUGGAACGAGUGGUGUAGCGGUGAAAUGCAUAGAGAUCACUCAGAACACCAAUUGCGAAGGCAGAGUACUAAAUUUUAACUGACGCUGAGGCACGAAAGUGUGGGGAUCAAACAGG